rnacentral:rRNA from 1 species
AUCAGAAGUGCGAAUGCUGACAUAAGUAACGAUAAAGCGGGUGAAAAGCCCGCUCGCCGGAAGACCAAGGGUUCCUGUCCAACGUUAAUCGGGGCAGGGUGAGUCGACCCCUAAGGCGAGGCCGAAAGGCGUAGUCGAUGGGAAACAGGUUAAUAUUCCUGUACUUGGUGUUACUGCGAAGGGGGGACGGAGAAGGCUAUGUUGGCCGGGCGACGGUUGUCCCGGUUUAAGCGUGUAGGCUGGUUUUCCAGGCAAAUCCGGAAAAUCAAGGCUGAGGCGUGAUGACGAGGCACUACGGUGCUGAAGCAACAAAUGCCCUGCUUCCAGGAAAAGCCUCUAAGCAUCAGGUAACAUCAAAUCGUACCCCAAACCGACACAGGUGGUCAGGUAGAGAAUACCAAGGCGCUUGAGAGAACUCGGGUGAAGGAACUAGGCAAAAUGGUGCCGUAACUUCGGGAGAAGGCACGCUGAUAUGUAGGUGAAGUCCCUCGCGGAUGGAGCUGAAAUCAGUCGAAGAUACCAGCUGGCUGCAACUGUUUAUUAAAAACACAGCACUGUGCAAACACGAAAGUGGACGUAUACGGUGUGACGCCUGCCCGGUGCCGGAAGGUUAAUUGAUGGGGUUAGCCGCAAGGCGAAGCUCUUGAUCGAAGCCCCGGUAAACGGCGGCCGUAACUAUAACGGUCCUAAGGUAGCGAAAUUCCUUGUCGGGUAAGUUCCGACCUGCACGAAUGGCGUAAUGAUGGCCAGGCUGUCUCCACCCGAGACUCAGUGAAAUUGAACUCGCUGUGAAGAUGCAGUGUACCCGCGGCAAGACGGAAAGACCCCGUGAACCUUUACUAUAGCUUGACACUGAACAUUGAGCCUUGAUGUGUAGGAUAGGUGGGAGGCUUUGAAGUGUGGACGCCAGUCUGCAUGGAGCCGACCUUGAAAUACCACCCUUUAAUGUUUGAUGUUCUAACGUUGACCCGUAAUCCGGGUUGCGGACAGUGUCUGGUGGGUAGUUUGACUGGGGCGGUCUCCUCCUAAAGAGUAACGGAGGAGCACGAAGGUUGGCUAAUCCUGGUCGGACAUCAGGAGGUUAGUGCAAUGGCAUAAGCCAGCUUGACUGCGAGCGUGACGGCGCGAGCAGGUGCGAAAGCAGGUCAUAGUGAUCCGGUGGUUCUGAAUGGAAGGGCCAUCGCUCAACGGAUAAAAGGUACUCCGGGGAUAACAGGCUGAUACCGCCCAAGAGUUCAUAUCGACGGCGGUGUUUGGCACCUCGAUGUCGGCUCAUCACAUCCUGGGGCUGAAGUAGGUCCCAAGGGUAUGGCUGUUCGCCAUUUAAAGUGGUACGCGAGCUGGGUUUAGAACGUCGUGAGACAGUUCGGUCCCUAUCUGCCGUGGGCGCUGGAGAACUGAGGGGGGCUGCUCCUAGUACGAGAGGACCGGAGUGGACGCAUCACUGGUGUUCGGGUUGUCAUGCCAAUGGCACUGCCCGGUAGCUAAAUGCGGAAGAGAUAAGUGCUGAAAGCAUCUAAGCACGAAACUUGCCCCGAGAUGAGUUCUCCCUGACUCCUUGAGAGUCCUGAAGGAACGUUGAAGACGACGACGUUGAUAGGCCGGGUGUGUAAGCGCAGCGAUGCGUUGAGCUAACCGGUACUAAUGAACCGUGAGGCUUAACCUU